UGCAGGGUAGCCUAGUGGACAUGGCAUCUGCCCGGUAAGCGGAACAUUGUAGGUUCGAUUCCCAUCCCUGGAC
rnacentral:tRNA from 1 species